CUCCUGUGCUUUUGGCACAACUGCCUCUGCACUGACACAGCCCUUCUGCUUGGAUGUUCUGGUUUUUAUGCGCCUCCAGUGUUUUGCAAAGGUCAAGAUGUAACAAACGACCUGCAGGCAGCAAGGCUUGAGCUUGUGAGAACAACAUCCCAGCCCACUCUCAGCAUGUGAUAUUGCAUCCUCCUGGUGCUUGGAACAUCUCCUUGUUCAUGUAUCCGCUACCAGGUUUUUCUCAGUGAUGCUUCCUUACCUAAAAGAUUAAACAAAGUCACAUGGGGUGAGAGAGAGAGAGAGAGCGCAGUUCUAACAAGGACUAUUAGCUAUGCUAUCUGAAUGGAACCUAGAAACUUAGGAUGCUGCUGUUAUCUCAACUUAAAUCGGUGGUCCAUCCAUCUCAGCAUCAUCUAAGCAGAUUUUAGGCUUGGAGGAUCUACAUAGGAAGCUGCUUUAUAUGGAACCACACCAUUGGCCCAUAUUGUAUUGAUCAACUGGGCAGCAUUUUUGAUUGAGUACGUAUGGCUGCGUAUCAAUGCUGGUUAUGAUCUAUAAAGCCCUAAAUGGCCUUGGCCCAGUAUACCUGAAAGAGCGUCUCCACCCCCAUUGUUCAGCCUGGACACAAAAUGAAUCUUGAUAAAGAAACAAGCACAAUUUAGGUUUGGUGGGGAGUUUUUUUUUGUCAUACUAUAUCACUGCAAAUCUGCAUGUCAGCAUUGUUGAGAGAGGAUAAAAGGAUGGAUCUGAGAGCCCCAGCAGACAAGCACACACGCUCCAGUUCUGGAACUAAUUUUAGACAUCCUCCAAGUCCGGCUGGAAUUCCGGAAGAGUGGAACAAUUUAGAGGAACAUCAAAAGGAACAACGGAGGGAAAAUCCUCCCAUCCCUGACCUUUCCGUGGUUGAUAUUUCCCUCUUCCUUUCUUUCCUCUCUUUGCCACUUGAAAUUGUGGCUCCUUUCUGCGCUCUCUCCUGUGUCCACCGCUAAACAUCAAAGACAGUAGGCACUUUAAUUUUGCAUAUCUGCUUCACCCAUCAGUGCUUCUGUCUUGACAUCGUCAUCUGCCGUUUCUUAACAGCUGUUGCCGUCCCCUUUUUGCUGACCUUCUUUCCUUUGAUGCUUUGGUUAUUUUCUUUCCACUGUUCCUUUCUUUCAUUCCUUGUGUGUUGUUUGGUUUAAGAUGGCUAGACUUCUGGUUCCAAACAAAGCAUUUUAUUUUAUUCCCCCCCCCACACACAAAGGUAGGGCACUUCUAGCAGGUGAUUCCCUAGACCUGAUAGAUGGGAGGUGGGCUGCUUUUGUUGAGGUUACACUCCCCCCUAAAGGAGCAGGAACAUCUGGAUCCAUCACGGAUGCCAGAGGCUCAGGUGGACUCAGUGACGCAGAAUGCCUUCCAUCAGCUUUGGCUAGUGGCCAAGCUAUGCCCCUAUCUAGACAGUGAUAGCCUAGGUUCUGUCAUCUGCUAGCCGUGAUGGCUGGGUCAGAGCCAGUAUUUCUCCCAGUACAGUGAUACCUUGGUUCGCAAAUGCCUUGGUUCUCAAACACCAAAAACCUGGAAGUAAGUGUUCCGGUUUUCGAAUGUUUUUCAGAAGCCAAACAUCUGAUGUGGCUGUUGGCUAUUGUUUCCGGGGCACCUGCACCAAUCAGAAGCUGCGCCUUGGUUUUUGAAAUUUUUGGAAGUCAGACGGACUUCCAGAACUAAUUAAGUUUGGCGCUUUUGUUUUUGCUAUUUAUUUUGCGUUUCUAGGGCUUUUUUGGUUAAUUUGUUUUUGUGACUGUGUGGAACCCAGUUCAGCUACUGAUUGAUUGAUUGAUUGAUUGAUUGAUUGAUUCAUUGUGCGACUGCAGAAAUGGAUAAAAGCCCUCCAUCCAAACAAUGACUACCAUCAGUGCAGGUAAGAAAAAAUAGUAAUUUUAAUUUUUAUCAUCUACAAUACUGUCUUUAUUUAUUUUCUAGUACAGUACAUUGAUUAUUGCUUUCGUUUUAUGGAUCAAUGGUCUCGUUAGAUAGUAAAAUUCAUGUUAAAUUGCUGUUUUAGGGGUUGGUUUGGAUUGCUUUCAAUGGGAAAGUGUGCCUUGGUUUUGGAACACUUUGGUUUUGAAACAGACUUCUGGAACGGAUUAAGUUUGAGAACCAAGGUACCACUAUACCAGCUUCUAGGAAUCAUGAAUAGAGAGUUGCUGAGUUGUUCUCGGGUCCAGCUUGCUUUGGAGUUUCCCUUUGGGGCAUCUGCUUGGCCCCUGUUAGAAACAGGAUGCUGAACUUGACAGAAUUUAAGAGGGAGGUGUUUGUUUGUUUGUUUGUUUGUUUGUUUGUUUGUUUGUUUUUACAACAAUUUAUUGAUUUUCC
rnacentral:lncRNA from 1 species